GUUAUUAGAAACCCCGGAGUGAGCGGUGAAAUGCUGUCUUUACCGCUCGUUUACCACUUUUCUCCUGGCCAGUACAGAGAUGACAGGCCUAACUACAGGAAUCCCCGAGGGCGAUGUGGCCGUUUUUCCCACAAUGGUUAGAGAGACUCCCAAUGACAAAUAACAGGGAUGGAGCCAUUCCAGUGCUGUUGCCCAUCAUGGAUGGAUGUGCAUCGGGAAUCACGGCAGAACAGGGGCACUUUAGAAGAAUUGUCCCGCCGUCACUGCUGACCCCCCACCCGGACAACGUCUCGCAUGAAUCCCCCACAGAGGCAUAAGUGACAAUUAUGAAUUACGCAGUUCAAGACGUGGAACGCCAUGCUCGCAAUAUUGUUGUCCCACCUGUCAAUUCUGCCGAAAUUUGCGCACACGAAAUAUGGACAAUCUGUCUCCGGAGCUUCUGAAAAAAUCCAUUCAGACGCAAAGAUGACAACGAAGAGAGCUUCACGAUCUUUAAAAAUGUCUGCAGAACAAAUUUUGUGCUAUGUUGUGAAUUAUACCAGCGUUCUUGUUAUUUUUUUUUAACAGAUUUAAUGUUGGCAAA